CAGUAGCCGCGGUAAUACGUAGGUCCCGAGCGUUGUCCGGAUUUAUUGGGCGUAAAGGGAGCGCAGGCGGUUUAGUAAGUCUGAAGUUAAAGGCAUUGGCUCAACCAAUGUAUGCUUUGGAAACUGUUAGACUUGAGUGCAGAAGGGGAGAGUGGAAUUCCAUGUGUAGCGGUGAAAUGCGUAGAUAUAUGGAGGAACACCGGUGGCGAAAGCGGCUCUCUGGUCUGUCACUGACGCUGAGGCUCGAAAGCGUGGGUAGCGAACAGGAUUAGAUACCCCAGUAGUCCCUGUCUCUUAUACA
rnacentral:rRNA from 1 species